AAGACUGUACUUUCAGGGAUCAUUUCUAUAGUCUGAGCAACUGCCCAACUUUUACACCAACAUCAGUUCCUGCAAAUGGAAAUUGUUUAAGAG
ensembl:snoRNA U3 Small nucleolar RNA U3